rnacentral:rRNA from 1 species
UACGUAGGUGGCAAGCGUUGUCCGGAUUUACUGGGCGUAAAGGAUGCGUAGGCGGACAUUUAAGUCAGAUGUGAAAUACCCGAGCUUAACUUGGGUGCUGCAUUUGAAACUGGGUGUCUAGAGUGCCGGAGAGGUAAGUGGAAUUCCUAGUGUAGCGGUGAAAUGCGUAGAGAUUAGGAAGAACACCAGUGGCGAAGGCGACUUACUGGACUGUAACUGACGCUGAGGCAUGAAAGCGUGGGGAGCAAACAGG